rnacentral:lncRNA from 1 species
AAAGGUUGAACCUCAACCCUGAGGGCCUUCACCGUCCCGCCCUUAGAGCUUUGUGAGGGAGAUAAAUCGCGGGAUAUGCCCCAACAGGUCAGGGAACAAAAGCUACCUAUACACUGAGCUUACAAGGAGUCCAAAUCCAUAUCUCAGGAAUCGAACCCCUACACUGCAGCUGCCAGCAAGACGUGAGAUAACCUCACUCAUGUCCUUUGUACCAUUGGACUAUGCCCCGAGGGGCUACUGAUUGUGUGUAUAUAGUUGUAUGUAAGUGUGUUUGCACAUUUCCAUGGCUUCUCUAUUUUCUUUCAUUUAUUUUCCAUUAAAACCAUUAGCUCAUAUUGAAUUUAAAACCACUGCCAAUCAAUACUUAAAGCCAAAUUACAUUAAUUUAAUAUUUUAAUUACAUAUCUUGUCAUAUUGGUAAGAGCUCUAUCCGGUGGAUAGUAGGUGGGUCAAGGGCCAGUGAAAUGAAAAAUUUCAAAAGAAAUUAUUUUUAAUUGAUUUCGACAAAUAUUUGAAUACGAUGCAUUUUUAGCAUGACGUGAUGUAAUAUAUUAUUAUUAUCAUACUCAUGACAUGUAUGAUUUUUGUUUACUAAGCAUUAGUUUAUGUAAUUCUUGCAUUGUAGGUGAGCAUAGAGGUUCUAGUUGGCUGUAAAGCUUUUAUGGGAUUUCAGAGUUUAAUGUACAUGGAUGCCGACCUUUAAGGUUAUUUUG